GAAGGUGGAGAGAGGGAGACAGGAGGGAGGGGGGAGUGGGGAGGGAGAGAGGAGGAGGAGAAGGAGAGUUUCCCACUCACGGGUUUUUCGGCCACCCCACACUGGGUGAGCUGGGAAGAUAGGGCAGCGAUGAGUCACAAGGACAGGGUUCUGGUUUAUAAAGCGCCUUCUCUACCUUAUUUCAGAUCCACAAAACAGGAUGGGGGGUUUCUCAGCGGUGCAGGUGUCACCAGCCCCGUUCUACAGACAAGGAAACCGAGGCUCAGAGAGGAGGACCUUGCCCAAGAAGCCACGAGGCAGAAGGCACAGCUGGAGGCCAGAACACGGGGGCUGCUAGAGCUUCUGCUUCAGAGGGAGAAAGGUUGUGGGGCUCACUCGACCCCUCUCUGAGCCAGAAUCGAGAAAUCCCGGAGGAGGCAGAGACCUCGGGGCCCCUGGGCCGUCUGAAUGCCUCUUUCCGAGGGUCCCAGCCCUGCCUCAAGCAUCCCCACUCGCCCCGGCGGCCAGAACCGCGCCUGCAUUCAAAGUCCUGCGGUGGAGGAACUUCUGAGCAGGCUGGUUCGGCAGCUCAGUGGUGGCGUCCGGACCAGGGUCUCUCCCUGUAUGUCCUCUGUCACCCUCAGUACGGAUCACUCCCCUCAUGCCCCAAAAUGGCUGCAGCAGAUCCAGUCAUCACAUCCCACCAGGACAAACUGCAGCCCAAGAUGAGCCAGCCAUAUCUUCCUCGUGUUUCUCUCUUUUUCAAGAGCAAACCAAGAUUCCCCAUAACCCCCCACUGGAGCCCCUUUCACACCUCACUGGUUUCAGUUGGGUCACACGCGAGGGGCACAGGACAGCCAUUGACUGUCUCAGACCAAGGGUCAGCAAAUCUGGUCCCAAGUCCGCCUGUGUAAAUAAAGAUUUAUUGGUACGCAGCCACACCAUUUUUUUUUAACGUUUAUUUAUUUUUAAGAGAAAGAGAGACAGAGCGUGAGCGGGGGAGGGGCGGAGAAAGAGGGAGACGCGGAAUCCGAAGCAGGUUCCGGGCUCCGAGCUGUCGGCACAGAGCCCGACGCGGGGCUCGAACCCACGAACCGCGAGAUCGUGGCCAGAAGUGAACUCAGAGGCUUAACUGACUGAGCCACCCAGGCGCCCACACACCCAUUUUUUUCACAUAUGACUGAGUUCGCGCUACAACGACAGAGCUGAGCGGUUGCAUCUGGUCCGCGAAGCCCGGAAGAUUCACUGUCUGACUCCACGGAAAAUCAGUUUGCUGACUCCUGGCUACAUUAAUUGGGAUUCACCCCUGUGCUGGGCUGAGUCACUGUCCCUGAGGGAUGAACACUGAACAAAACAAUAGUCUGUGAGUGAGACAGAAGUGGAUGGCGGCCGGGUCACCGUUAAGUCGGCCUCAAGUACUUUGCUACUCGAUGCACGGUCCCUAGACCAGCGGCGGGGAGCCAGGCUCAAACCCCACCGCCGCGCUCCUGAACCAGAGCUCGCACUUGACAAGGUCCCCAGGACUCUGUGACAAGCCCUCGCCCUGCAGACAGGGGAAGGUGUGGCCGAGCUCAAGCCCUGACGGUGACCUUGACCAGCUGUGUGGCUGUGGCAGGUCAUGGCCCCCCUCGAGGCCCUUGGUGCCCUCACCUGCUGGACGUCGUGUGUUCACAUCCUCGGGCUGAGUUAACAACCCCUCCCCCACCCCACCCCCACCCCCACCCCACCAAGCUGGGUGGCUUAGAGCCCAGUUCGGGAGGUCCGAAGUCUAAAGUCAAGGUGUGGGCAAGGCCAUGCUCCCUCCGAGGCUGCAGGGGAGGGUCCUUCCUUACCUCUUCCAGACUGGGGUGGCCCCAGGUGGCCCCUUCUUUAUUUUUUAAGUUUAUUUAUCUUGAGAGAGAGACAGAGAGGGUG
rnacentral:lncRNA from 1 species